AGAAUCAACGCUGGCGGCGUGCCUAAUACAUGCAAGUCGUACGCGAAAGCCCCGCAAGGGGCAAGUAGAGUGGCAAACGGGUGAGUAACGCGUGGCGACCUACCUUCGAGUGGGGGAUAACCUUCCGAAAGGAGGGCUAAUACCGCAUGACAUCCCGUGUUUGGAUACACGGACAUCAAAGCCGGGGAUCGCAAGACCUGGCGCUUGGAGAGGGGCCCGCGUCCGAUUAGGCUAGUUGGUGAGGUAACGGCUCACCAAGGCUUCGAUCGGUA
rnacentral:rRNA from 1 species